rnacentral:rRNA from 1 species
CCGACGCUCUCCCCAAGGACGAAGCCAUGCAUGCCCGCUCACCCGGGACGCGGCGGACGGCUCAGGACGACGGUUGCACCCCCCGCGGCGGUCCCUGCUAGCCGGACACCGCUGGCAACCCGGCGCCAAGACGUGCGCGCAAGGGCGGGCGCCCGCGGGCGAGCAGCGUGACGCAGA